GACCACUUCGGUGGGGAUUAGUGGCGAACGGGUGAGUAAACGUGGGCAAUCUGCCCUGCACUCUGGGACAAGCCCUGGAAACGGGGUCUAAUACCGGAUACUGAUCCGCCUGGGCAUCCAGGCGGUUCGAAAGCUCCGGAGGUGCAGGAUGAGCCCGCGGCCUAUCAUCUCAGCCUGAUGCAGCGACGCCGCGUGAGGGAUGACGGCCUUCGGGUUGUAAACCUCUAACAGCAGGGAAGAGCGCAAGUGACGGUACCUGCAGAGGAUCUUUGGGCCGAUACUGACGUUGAGGAGCGAAAGCGUGGGGAGCGAACAGGAUUAGAUACCCUGGUAGUCCACGCCGUAAACGGUGGGCACUAGGUGUGGGCGACAUUCCACGUCGUCCGUGCCGCAGCUAACGCAUUAAGUGCCCCGCCUGGGGAGUACGGCCGCAAGGCUAAAACUCAAAGGAAUUGACGGGGGCCCGCACAAGCGGCGGAGCAUGUGGCUUAAUUCGACGCAACGCGAAGAACCUUACCAAGGCUUGACAUACACCGGAAAACAUUGGGUUAAGUCCCGCAACGAGCGCAACCCUUGUCCCGUGUUGCCAGCAAGCCCUUCGGGGUGUUGGGGACUCACGGGAGACCGCCGGGGUCAACUCGGAGGAAGGUGGGGACGACGUCAAGUCAUCAUGCCCCUUAUGUCUUGGGCUGCACACGUGCUACAAUGGCCGGUACAAUGAGCUGCGAUACCGCGAGGUGGAGCGAAUCUCAAAAAGCCGGUCUCAGUUCGGAUUGGGGUCUGCAACUCGACCCCAUGAAGUCGGAGUCGCUAGUAAUCGCAGAUCAGCAUUGCUGCGGUGAAUACGUUCCCGGGCCUUGUACACACCGCCCGUCACGUCACGAAAGUCGGUAACACCCGAAGCCGGUGGCCCAACCCCUUGUGGGAGGGAGCUGUCGAAGGUGGGACUGGCG
rnacentral:rRNA from 1 species